rnacentral:tRNA from 1 species
UGCUGGAUAGCGUUUUGUUUGGUGUGGUUUGCUGCGAAGCUCUUGGGCUCAUAACCCGAAGGUCGUCGGUUCAAAUCCGGCCCCCGCAACCA